rfam:Camelus ferus unplaced genomic scaffold scaffold379, whole genome shotgun sequence.
GAGGGUAUAACUCAGUGGUAUAGUGCGUGUUUGGCAUGCCUGAGGUCCUGGGUUCAAUCCCUGAUACCUCCA